rnacentral:piRNA from 1 species
UGUUAGAGAUUUAGUGGAUCGCCAUGAACC